rnacentral:rRNA from 1 species
GACGAACGCUGGCGGCGUGCUUAACACAUGCAAGUCGAGCGGUAAGGCCUUUCGGGGUACACGAGCGGCGAACGGGUGAGUAACACGUGGGUGAUCUGCCCUGCACUCUGGGAUAAGCUUGGGAAACUGGGUCUAAUACCGGAUAUGACUAUGGGAUGCAUGUUUCAUGGUGGAAAGCUUUUGUGGUGCAGGAUGGGCCCGCGGCCUAUCAGCUUGUUGGUGGGGUAAUGGCCUACCAAGGCGACGACGGGUAGCCGACCUGAGAGGGUGACCGGCCACACUGGGACUGAGACACGGCCCAGACUCCUACGGGAGGCAGCAGUGGGGAAUAUUGCACAAUGGGCGGAAGCCUGAUGCAGCGACGCCGCGUGAGGGAUGAAGGCCUUCGGGUUGUAAACCUCUUUCAGCAGGGACGAAGCGUGAGUGACGGUACCUGCAGAAGAAGCACCGGCUAACUACGUGCCAGCAGCCGCGGUAAUACGUAGGGUGCGAGCGUUGUCCGGAAUUACUGGGCGUAAAGAGUUCGUAGGCGGUUUGUCGCGUCGUUUGUGAAAACCCGGGGCUCAACUUCGGGCUUGCAGGCGAUACGGGCAGACUUGAGUGUUUCAGGGGAGACUGGAAUUCCUGGUGUAGCGGUGAAAUGCGCAGAUAUCAGGAGGAACACCGGUGGCGAAGGCGGGUCUCUGGGAAACACUGACGCUGAGG